rnacentral:tRNA from 18 species
CGCGGGGUAGAGCAGUCUGGUAGCUCGUCGGGCUCAUAACCCGAAGGUCGCGAGUUCAAAUCUCGCCCCCGCCACCA